rnacentral:rRNA from 1 species
AUCGAACGCUGGCGGCAGGCCUAACACAUGCAAGUCGAGCGAGCGGCGGGCGGGUGAGUAAUGUAUGGGGACUGCCCGAUAGAGGGGGAUAACAACUGGAAACGGUAGCUAAUACCGCAUACUAUCGGCUACCCCAAAUGGGAUUGGCUAGUCGGUGAGGUAAUGGCUCACCUAGGCGACGAUCCCUAGCGGGUCUGAGAGGAUGAUCAGCCACACUGGGACUGAGACACGGCCCAAACUCCUACGGAGGCAGCAGUGGGGAAUAUUGCACAAUGGGCGCAAGCCUGAUGCAGCAAUGCCGCGUGAAUGAAGAAGGCCUUAGGGUUGUAAAGUACUUUUGGUCGGGAAGCGUUACCGACAGAGGAAGCACCGGCUAACUCCGUGCCAGCCGCCGCGGUAAUUC